GCAAGAAGAUCAUGUUAGUAACACAAGGAACAACCUGCCUCGUAAAUAAACAAGGCACUACAUUCCAACAACGUGAGGUGUGAGGAGGCAAGUCAUCCUUGGCUACCAAACAAGACUCUUCUCU
rnacentral:pre_miRNA from 1 species